UUGUUAGUGCGGGUUAUAAAUAAAUUAGUAUUAGUAACUGGCAUAUCCAAGGUUAGUUACAAAAAGUAGUUUAAAGAUAGAAUGACCAACUAUUAGUAAUGGACAUAGAAAAAGCUAGUUACAACUAAUAGGUCAAAUUUGUUGACUAUAUUAAUUAUAAUGGACUUUAUUAAGUUCAGUUACAAUUGCUAUUCUGCACAAUUGCAUAACUGCACAACACUCAUUUUCCGUGUUUUCUUUUUUCUAUUUUUUUUUUUAAGAAAGUACUUCUACUCUUCCUUCCUCCUAAUCAAACUUACCCCUAAUUUUCACAGAACAACCUCAAUUUUCCUUCGAAAAACCUCAGUUUUCCUUUAAAAAACCUCUAAAAUUCCUCAUUUUUUCAUAGAGCAACCUGCGCUCUCUGCUUAUGCAAUCAUGCAUUUCGGAAUCGUCCUAAUUGCCGGAUGAUGAUGAGGAAUUGCAGCGCAAGCCCCAUUUUGUCGAGGAGGCUAUCGGAGGGUGGUUGUCGCGAUUAAAGAACAUUUAUUUGAGCGCGUAGUUUUUCGUUUUCAACCAUUUUAAGGUUCCUUUUUUCCUCCUAUUCUUCUUCCUUUUUGUUUGGUUUAGCUAGAUUUAACUAAUUGACUCUAGUGUUUUCGGAUUCAACUACAUUUUCUGCUUCGUUAUUGAGUUCAUUCUGUUUUUGUUGAUUUUAGUUGUGUAUUGUUUACUCAAAUGAGGUUGUACUGCAUGUGAUUUUAAUUUGUUCUUGUUUUGAAUGUUUUUUGAUUGAUUGGGGUUUUCUGGUUUUUCAUCAUUGAUUUUAGUUGUUAAUUUAGGUGUUUUUGGCUGUUAAGUGCGUGUAAAUAUUAAAGCAAUGGGUAUAAUCGCGACAACCAAUUUGUUGCUGAAAGUUUGGUUUUCACCCUAAAUUUUGUUUUUUUGUUGUAUUUUUGCUGGGAUGAGGUUUGAUGUAUACUAUUUUAGUUAGAUUUUGGGAAAUUGUCGUAUUAAUUUUGUAAAUUGAUUGAUUUUGUGAUUAAAUUUGAUGGUGAAUAUAUGAAUUAUGAUGUUUUGUGUUGAUUUUUCUGGGUUUGUCCCGCCUUUUGAUGGUGUAUAUAUGAAUUAUGAUGUGUUUUUUUGUUGAUUUUUCUAGGUUUGUCCCUUUGAGGUAGGCUUAUGCUGUGCAAUUAUUAAAAGUUGCUCACAACAAUUAUCAAUAUCUUGUCAUAAUACAGAAAUGUAUUCGCUUAUAGUUCCAUUCUCGGGAACUUAUCAAUACACCUCAUUUCAUUUUGAACAUAAAAAAAUUAAUUAAGAAAAUCAUGAAGGCCACUAAUAAAACGGGAGAAGUAUAAUGUAAUUGUGGCUAUGCAUCAGCAUUAAUAGGUUGACAUUUUAGAUUGUAUAGUAAUGAAUUAUUGUUGUUUUAGUGGCAUGUAGAAGUAGCUAGUUUUGUUAGAUAAAAGCUUUACAGUUAUAGUAAGUCAAAGAUAAUAUUCUCAAGAUAAAUUAUUGCACCAUUUUAUAUUGAUAAGUUCCUCACCAAUCUUAGUUUAGUAUCCUCUUUUCUAUUGGCUAGAUGAAUGAUAGAAGCUAAGACUUUAUCCUAACUAUUAUAUUAGCAUGUGUUAAUGAGACCAGCUGCUCAAGAUAGAUCCUCGUAACAGGCCUAUUUGGCUUGCUACCAUUGUAGGGGAGGCUAUCGGAGGGUGGUUGUCGUAGGGAGCUGAUUCCUCUCAGAAGUUAAGGUAUGGUUCAAUGUAUCCCUUGUAAUUAUGAUUUGUUUUGGAGAAUGAACAAUAAAGAAACAAAAUAUACUACUAAAAUGUUGCUGACAUUGGGAAAUCAUGCCGGAAAGAUUAGAUUGUCUGCAAUGAAACUAGGCGGGGUUUUAUUACUUUCCGGUUGCAAACUUGUUCAUGUUAAACUGGAAUUAAAGAAGUUGAUCUACAUUUGAGAUGCUGGGUUGCGAUAUUUUCGAGCUGAUAAAUUGAAGCUUAUAAUUCUUAAAUCGGUGUCUUGUUGAACAAUUUGCUGGGCUGAAAGAUUCGGUAUGGCUCUUCAAUUCAGGUAAAAUCUUUGAUUAUGAUAUAUAUAGUGUCUUUUUUUUUAAAUACUUCUAUGAGAAAUUUUACAAUUUUAAUUAUCACUAUGUUAAGGGAUUUAAAAUUAGCGAAUAUGAACAAGCUUCUAAUUUGAAGAUUUUAGUGCAUGUGACUAGAAAUGUUAGUUUUUAAAGAAUUUUAAGCCAAAAUUUGAGUUUAUUUAGAAAUUUUUGCUUGUGCUAGGGUUGCAAAUUUGUGAUUAAAUCCUAUCUAGAGUUUGAGACACCCUAUUGUCAAAAAAAAAAAAAAAAAAAAAAAAAAAAAAAAAAGAGUUUGAGACACCCUGCUUGAAAACUUAAUUUAUCUAUUUUAUAGAUAAUUUUCAUCUGAUAAAUUCUCAGGAAAAUUUUCGACCACCUAACUGAUUAGAAUUCAUAAAUAUUGAUAGUUCUUGGUUCUUGUGAAACAAAUUUUGCUACUAGUUUCUUAAAAUGUAGGAAUUGGACAAUCCAUUUAAAAUAUAAGCUUGGAGCCAUUCAUAUCUCUGUACUCAGAUCUCUCAUAUAUGUAGUAUAUUGAUGCUAAUUCUAAUAACUUUAGUGAAACUUAUCUUAUUUAUCUUAUGGAAAACUUUGAUAUUUGAAAAAUAAAAGUCGAGAAACAUGAGUGCAUAACUAAAGCUCAUAUGGCGAAUAAUUUCAAGUAUUGACAUAUGAUACAAAUUUAGUGUUUUUAAUCUAAAUUAGCCUGUAUCAUUAUUGCUGAAUUUUCCUUGCAUGACUGUCUUACUUCCCUCUUAACAAGGCAAUGUUGACUGUAUUUUGCUUGAUUUUCUUAUUCCGUUUCUUUUAGAUCAUCUUUUACAACAUUGUUUUAUAUUUUGCAAGUCGCUUAAGUUUGCGUAGCUGUCAGAUCUCUUGUUUGAAUUGAGGACCAUGAUGUUUGGAUAGAUAGUGAAGUAGUUGCGAUUAAUGGUGAAAAUAUAAUGGUCUUUUAUUUUGAUAUAUGGUGAGUGUUAAAUUGCCUAGUCUCAUGGCAUAUAUCUUAAUGUAUAUAUAUAGCUUUGAUUAUAGCAGAAAUGUUUAUUUAAAGUAGGUUUCUAUGAAGCCUCUCUUUAAAACAGUGCACAAGUGUGCAAGUGUACAUGCAUGGCUGCUUACUUUCCACUAGAUUACUUUUAAUGUUCAUCUUUGUUUAUAUGUUUUUUUUUUUCUCCAAUUCAAGGAUUUCAUGUUUAUUUUCAAGGAUAAUUUUUGUCCUGUUUUGUGAUAAUUAGUGACUAAAAAAUGGUUUGUUAGUUGUUGAUUUUGUAAUUUUAUUACUUUUGAGAAAUAUUAAGCCAAAUUUUUUAUUUGAUUGUGAAAUUGUUGCUUGUACUGGGAUUUGUGUAUUAGACGUAGAAUUAAUAUGAACUUAGGUUGCAAAUUUGUGAUUAAGACCUGUCUAGAGUUGCUAACAAUAUAAUAGGUCUUAUCACAAUUGAAAAUCCAAAAAUUAACUAAUCGUAAUGGAGUACAGGCCGCAUCAGGGAAUUUGUUGUUAAAGUGGUGACGCUUAGUCUAGCUUAUCACCCUAAACGUGUGAAAUUAAUUGGGUACUAUGAUGAGGGUAAUCAGAGGUUGUUGGUGUAUGAGUACAUGCCACUAGGAUCCUUGGAAAGCCAUCUACGUGGUACAUAGGCGCCGCUGUGUGUGUGUGUGUGUGUGUUUUUGCUACAGUAGUCCUUCUCUAGCAAUUUUUUUUUCAUAUCCUAAUGCAUUUUUUGUAUUCCCUUGAUAAUGAAUGCUGCAGACCUCCGAAAUAAGCAGAAGGCUCUUGAUUGGAACAAAAGGAUGAAAAUAGCCGCUAGGGCGGCUAGGGGCUUAGAAUAUUUUCAUGACAAGAUGGAGCCACUUGUAAUAUAUCAUGAUUUGAAAUGCUCAAAUAUCUUGCUUGGCAAGGGCUAUCACGUUAAACUGUCGGAUUUUGGGCUGGCCAAAGUGGGUCCAGUUGGAGGCAAUACUCAUGUAUCGACUCGGGUAAUGGGUAUAUAUGGUUAUUGUGCACCAGAUUAUGCAAUGACGGGUCAGCUGACUUUUGAAUAAGAUAUAUACAGUUUUGGAUAUCUAAGAGUUUAAGAGCAAAGUUAGUGAUUAUAAUUAAAAUCUUAGUCCAAGUUUGUUUACUAAAUAUGGAGUGUUAUAAUUAGAAGUACUAUGUCAUUUAGAGGCUAUUGCUUUCCUUUUAAUCCAUUAAUUAUUGUCCAUGAUUCUAUUCUAUGUCAGGGUCCUGGUUUUACUGUCAAAUCAUGUGUUGUUUGAAUCAGGGCUUAUCUCAAACUAUGGGCUGCUAGUGUCUAUCUUAUGGAAUAUAGAAAUAACAAUUAAGCUUUGAUAAAUUGCCUUGAAUUUUUGUGCAUCUCUAGUAAUUAGGUUGUAUAUUUACAAUUAUUGGUCACAUGGCUGCUGUUCUGAAGCUCUUUUGGUAAUUUACAAUUAUAAGUCACGUGGUACAUAGCUUCCUCAGAGUCACACAUUUAUUGGUGCAGGCUCAUUAUUUGCUUCCAAUGAUUGUAGGCUCAUUUGUUUUGCAAUGGUCGGGGAUCAUAUAUUACUUGUAAUGAUGCAGGCUCAUCAGAAUUCUGCUGCAAUUUCAAGUGCUUAGUGUGAACAGCUGUUAUCCUAUACAUAAGAGUCAAAUUUAUGAAGCAGACAGAGACAAUCGACAAAAUUAGCAAAAUUUGAAGGUUGACCAUUGUAUCAAUUAACUGACUAGCUUUUGUUAGCAUUAGAGUAUUGUUUAUUGUGAAUUGUGAGAUAAAAAUUUGUAAUUUACAAGUACAUCAAUUCAAUAUAAUUUACAAGAUGUCAUUUAAAGUUGGUCUUGUAUUGGUUAGAUUGAUAGUUAUUGUAUUUUAUAAAAGUUUAUUAACAAUAAAUGGUCUUUAAGUUAAAAAAAUA